UUUAUGGAGAGUUUGAUCCUGGCUCAGGAUGAACGCUGGCGGCGUGCCUAAUACAUGCAAGUCGAGCGAACAGAUAAGGAGCUUGCUCCUUUGACGUUAGCGGCGGACGGGUGAGUAACACGUGGGUAACCUACCUAUAAGACUGGGAUAACUUCGGGAAACCGGAGCUAAUACCGGAUAAUAUUU
rnacentral:rRNA from 1 species